rnacentral:rRNA from 1 species
UACGUAGGGUGCAAGCGUUAAUCGGAAUUACUGGGCGUAAAGCGUGCGCAGGCGGUUUUGUAAGUCUGUUGUGAAAUCCCCGGGCUUAACCUGGGAAUGGCAAUGGAGACUGCAAGGCUAGAGUUUGGCAGAGGGGGGUAGAAUUCCACGUGUAGCAGUGAAAUGCGUAGAGAUGUGGAGGAACACCGGAUGGCGAAGGCAGCCCCCUGGGUCAAGACUGACGCUCAUGCACGAAAGCGUGGGGAGCAAACAG